rnacentral:rRNA from 1 species
CAGCCGCCACGGGAAUACGGAGGGGGCUAGCGUUGUUCGGAAUUACUGGGCGUAAAGCGCACGUAGGCGGCUUGGUAAGUUAGAGGUGAAAGCCUGGAGCUCAACUCCAGAAUUGCCUUUAAGACUGCCGAGCUAGCAGGUGAGAGAGGUAAGUGGAAUUCCGAGUGUAGAGGUGAAAUUCGUAGAUAUUCGGAAGAACACCAGUGGCGAAGGCGGCUUACUGGCUCAUACUGGACGCUGAGGUGCGAAAGCGUGGGGAGCAAACAGGAUUAGAUACCCGAGUAGUCCCUGUCUCUUAUAC